CCAGAGUCGUCCGUGACUGGACCUAAUGCUCAGGGGUCCAUUUACCUUUAAAUCUGACCUAAAGAAUUAACAUAUGCAAAUUUAGAUGCUAAGUACAAGAUAUUCAACACCUCAAUGAGAUGCAUCCCCACAAUAGGAAGGUGAUUUGAAGCCAGAUCACAGACAGAGAUGGCCAGUCUUACUAUCCAAACUCUUUCACCCUUUUGUUAAGCAAGCACGAUGGCCAGCUUUAGUCAUUUUUCACUAAGGUGGCUGGGGCAAGGAUUAGGCAGGAAAUUCCGGAAGUAACUAUGGGAAUUGUAGAAACCACUCAUUUCACAGCUGUCUCCCCUCUCCCCUGGCAUGCCUUGGCAAAAGGUGUAUAAAUCCAGGGCCGUCUUAAGCAUAGCCAGCACUGUGGUACAAAGAUCCCUCAGGCGCCCCCCCUCCCAUUUCCCAGAGUUGUUGUCAACCUUUCCCCAAGCCUCUGCGGAGAUCGCUCUCCUCCUGCGGAGGCUUGGGAGGCAAGCUGCACGCCCGCCAGUCAUAUGGUUGACAGGGCACAGCUGGUGGGUGUGCAGGGAAAGGGGAGGCCGCCGGCAAAGCCGCGCAGCUCCCCCACUUGCUGGGGUGCCCCUGAGAGGCCAGCGCCCUGGCGCAACAGGCCAGUAACCCCAAUGGGAAAGACGGCUCUGUAUAAAUCUCUUAAAUUCAAAGGUUAGUUAGCUCUUCUAGCUGCAACAGGAGAGCACUUACCCAGGGCUCCCCAGGGCUCUGCGCAAAUCUGCUUCGUUUUGCGGACAGGUAUUCUUCCCUCUGCCUUUUCUCUACUUGUAGUUUAUGCCCACAUUUCUGUAGCCUCUUAGAAGAGUUAGGGAAUCUUCUACUCUUUUAUCAAGGUGUGCAUGUAUUGUAAUUUGCUACCUGCUUAGACUGUAACUCUGCUGUCUAAAGCAGCAUUUUAUGUAUUCUGUCACUCAUAUUUUCUAUAAUAAACCAAGCUUUCUUUGUUUCUUUGUGCAAGAGCUUCUUGAGGGCAUAAGGUUAACACACAACCAUAACAAGCGCAUAUCAUAAGUCCAGCAAAAGAUCCUAGACCCCUUAAUCUUGUGUAUAGGAACAUACAUAAGAGCUGGCUGAGCACAUGGCAGUCCAGGUCCACACUCAUAGCAGUUCCUGCCAAGAGGCAUUUCCUGUUCUGUGUGUGUUUGUGAGAGGUAAGAGUGUUUGUGGGAGAAAAGGAAUGCUUCUUCUCAGAUGGCACCUGCCACCUACAGCUUGUGUAGGCACUUGUAUUAGAAAUAUUUAUUUAUUUUUAAAACUUCUCCAUGUUUACUAGGAUGGCACUCCUUUAAAUAGUC